AUACGUAGGUGGCAAGCGUUGUCCGGAUUUACUGGGUGUAAAGGGCGCGUAGGCGGGUAUGCAAGUCAGAUGUGAAAUGCCAAGGCUUAACCUUGGGGCUGCAUUUGAAACUGUGUAUCUUGAGUAUCGGAGGGGCCGGCGGAAUUCCUAGUGUAGCGGGGAAAUGCGUAGAUAUUAGGAGGAACACCAGUGGCGAAGGCGGCCUGCUGGACGACAACUGACGCUGAGGCGCGAAAGUGUGGGGAGCAAACAGGAUUAGAUACCCUGGUAGUCCACACUGUAAACGAUGAAUGCUAGGUGUAAGAGGUAUCGACCCCUUUUGUGCCGGAGUUAACACAAUAAGCAUUCCGCCUGGGGAGUACGGCCGCAAGGUUGAAACUCAAAUGAAUUGACGGGG
rnacentral:rRNA from 1 species